rnacentral:rRNA from 1 species
CCUACGGGAGGCACCAGUGGGGAAUAUUGCACAAUGGGCGCAGGCCCGAUGCAGCCAUGCCGCGUGUGUGAAGAAGGCCUUCGGGUUGUAAAGCACUUUCAGUGGGGAGGAAGGCGGUGAGGUUAAUAACCUCAUCGAUUGACGUUACCCGCAGAAGAAGCACCGGCUAACUCCGUGCCAGCAGCCGCGGUAAUACGGAGGGUGCAAGCGUUAAUCGGAAUUACUGGGCGUAAAGCGCACGCAGGCGGUCUGUCAAGUCGGGUGUGAAAUCCCCGGGCUCAACCUGGGAACUGCAUUCGAAACUGGCAGGCUAGAGUCUUGUAGAGGGGGGUAGAAUUCCAGGUGUAGCGGUGAAAUGCGUAGAGAUCUGGAGGAAUACCGGUGGCGAAGGCGGCCCCCUGGACAAAGACUGACGCUCAGGUGCGAAAGCGUGGGGAGCAAACAGGAUUAGAUACCCCGGUAGUC